UAUUUAUCCAUAUACAAAAAAAGAACAACUGUAUUUUCCUUGAGGGAAGAAAGAGUUUAGCUUGGACUGAUUCUGUGAAGAAAGCAAGUUACAAAGGAGAACUUGAUGAAAAGAAGCAUUCUUGCAGCUCCAGCACGUAAAACAUGCCUAAGUUAAUGGUAACUUCGGUGAUAUGGAGCUUAAAAGAAAAAAAU